GGGGGUGUAGCUCAGCUGGGAGAGCACCUGCUUUGCAAGCAGGGGGUUCAGGGGUUCGAUCCCCCUCACCUCCA
rfam:Candidatus Firestonebacteria bacterium RIFOXYC2_FTLL_39_67 rifoxyc2_full_scaffold_374, whole genome shotgun sequence.